UGUUCUAUUGUCGAAUUAAAAUUAAUAUAUUGUUUAAAAUAAGUAUGAAGUUGAAAUAUUUUUUUUUAUAAAAUUAUCAAAAAAAUGUUGUUUUAUAAUUUUGUGAGAAAAUUUUUAAGAGAAAAGUUAAAUAAUUUAUUAAAAAAGUGUUUAAAGUUUUGCAAAAUGUUAUUGCAAUUAUUGGUCUGCAGCCGGUCGCUGUUUUUCUUUUGUUUGGCCGUUCUUUUUUUUAAGAGAGAAUAUUCCAAGGCGGGAAAAUGUGGAUGAUAAAGUAAAUAAAAAGAGCAAAAUCAUGAAAUCCAAAGACAAUAAAUAUUGGGCGCUGCAUUCGAAGACUUUGUGUGAAAAAGGGAGGAAUCCACAUUUGACCAACGAAUUGAAGAUAAAUUAAAUAAAAGAAGCAAAAUCAUAUAAUCCAAAGGCAAUAAAUUUGUGUAAGAUAAAGUAAAUAAAAAGUGCAAAAUCAUGUAAUCCGAAGGCAAUAAAUAUUGGGCGCUCCAUUGGAAGACUUUGUGUGAAAAAUGGAGGAAUCCACAUUUGACCAACAAAUUGAAGCAAGAGUGAGCUGUUGUUGUUGGCUUAAAGAUGAUUUAAUAUUGUGUUAAAGAAAAAAUAAAUAAAUAAAUAAAUAAAUAAAUAAAUAAAUAAAUAAAUAAAUAAAUGGAAAAUCAUGGAAUCUAAAGACAAUAUGUUUUGGACAUUACAAUGAAAAGAUUUAAGCAUAUUAUACUUAACAUUUAGUACACCCUAUACUUGAGUGAAGGAGGGCGAAUCCAUAUCUGACCAACGAAUUGAAG
rnacentral:lncRNA from 1 species